GAUCAUGGCUCAAGAACGAACGCUGGCGGCAUGCCUAACACAUGCAAGUCGAACGGCAGCGCGGGGCAACCUGGCGGCGAGUGGCGAACGGGUGAGUAACAUAUCGGAACAUACCCUAGAGUGGGGGAUAACGUAGCGAAAGUUACGCUAAUACCGCAUACGCACUAAGGUGGAAAGUGGGGGAUUCGCAAGAACCUCAUGCUCAUGGAGUGGCCGAUAUCUGAUUAGCUAGUUGGUGAGGUAAAGGCUCACCAAGGCGACGAUCAGUAGCUGGUUUGAGAGAACGACCAGCCACACUGGAACUGAGACACGGUCCAGACUCCUACGGGAGGCAGCAGUGGGAAUUUUGGACAAUGGGGCAACCCUGAUCCAGCAAUGCCGCGUGAGUGAAGAAGGCCUUCGGGUUGUAAAGCUCUUUUGUCAGGGAAGAAACGGUGAGUUCUAAUAAAGCUUGCUAAUGACGGUACCUGAAGAAUAAGCACCGGCUAACUACGUG
rnacentral:rRNA from 1 species